AAAAAGAAUGGUCGAUUUAUCAUGGUAUAGUACAU
rnacentral:sRNA from 1 species